AGAACGAACGCUGGCGGCAUGCCUAACACAUGCAAGUCGAACGAGACCUUCGGGUCUAGUGGCGCACGGGUGCGUAACGCGUGGGAAUCUGCCCUUGGGUUCGGGAUAACAGUUGGAAACGACUGCUAAUACCGGAUAAUGACUUCGGUCCAAAGAUUUAUUGCCCAGGGAUGAGCCCGCGUAGGAUUAGCUAGUUGGUGAGGUAAAGGCUCACCAAGGCGACGAUCCUUAGCUGGUCUGAGAGGAUGAUCAGCCACACUGGGACCGAGACACGGCCCAGACUCCUACGGGAGGCAGCAGUGGGGAAUAUUGGACAAUGGGCGAAAGCCUGAUCCAGCAAAUGCCGCGUGAGUGAUGAAGGCCUUAGGGUGUAAAGCUCUUUUUACCCGGGAUGAUAAUGACAGUACCGGAGAAUAAAGCCCCCGGCUAAACUCCGUGCCAAGCAAGCCGC
rnacentral:rRNA from 1 species